UCGAUAGAGGUGCGAAAAAUAUCAGUAGCAUGGUUUCGGCACUCAUUUGCUUUGAACUGUGCGAAAGGAUUUUUUGCCGAAACAAAAUACAGAGUGAGAUGUAUUUUGUUGGGCGCACGGAAAAUAUUCGUGUGACUGUCACAUGAUUUCAUGUGGAGAGCUGUCGG
rnacentral:ncRNA from 1 species